UACGGAGGAUCCAAGCGUUAUCCGGAAUUACUGGGCGUAAAGAGUUGCGUAGGUGGCGUGGUAAGCAAAUAGUGAAAUGGUACGACUCAAUCGUGCACCCAUUAUUUGAACUGCCAAGCUUGAGCAUAAGAGAGGUACCUGGAAUUCCCAGUGUAGGAGUGAAAUCCGUAGAUAUUGGGAGGAACACCGAUGGCGUAGGCAGGGUACUGGCUUAUUGCUGACACUAAGGCACGAAAGCGUGGGGAGCGAACGGG
rnacentral:rRNA from 1 species